rnacentral:rRNA from 1 species
UACGUAGGGUGCAAGCGUUGUCCGGAAUUAUUGGGCGUAAAGAGCUCGUAGGCGGUUUGUCGCGUCGGCUGUGAAAACUCGGGGCUCAACCCCGAGCCUGCAGUCGAUACGGGCAAACUAGAGUGUGGUAGGGGAGACUGGAAUUCCUGGUGUAGCGGUGAAAUGCGCAGAUAUCAGGAGGAACACCGGUGGCGAAGGCGGUCUCUGGGCCAGUACUGACGCUGAGGAGCGAAAGCGUGGGUAGCAAACAGG